UUAAUUGGGGACUCUAGCGAGACUGCCAGUGAUAAACUGGAGGAAGUGGGGAUGACGUCAAAUCAUCAUGCCCCUUAUGACCUGGGCUACAAACGUGAUACAAUGGCUGGAACAAAGGGAGGCGAAGGGGUGACCUGGAGCGAAACUCAAAAAAACAGUCUCAGUUCGGAUUGAAGUCUGCAACUCGACUUCAUGAAGUCGGAAUCGCUAGUAAUCGCGGAUCAGAACGCCGCGGUGAAUACGUUCUCGGGGUUU
rnacentral:rRNA from 1 species